UGUGUGUGUGAUUCAGGGUAAGUACCUUGCUCAAGGGUACUACAGCUAGAGGUAAGGCUUGAACCUGCAACUCUUGGGUCCAGAUGCACUUGUUCUAACCACUACACUAUCAGUUGACACUUUUGUGAUGGCUGAAGGCAGCCCGUGUCGCCACGGAGUGCAGGGUGGGCUUCGCACACCAACACACCUACGGAUGCACCGCUCCAGGUGGAGACCGUACUGGAGAACAAGCCGGCCGCUGCACGGUCUACUCAGUGGUCUUGACCAAGGAAAGACUGGAAGUUGGGCGUUGUGUUAACGUUGCGGAUGAUGAGUCAUCCGUGAGGCGUUUUCACCCACAGAGCACAAAGGUACCUCGCUGUUACAUUUUUCAGGUUUUCAUGUUAUACUUGGUCAGCGGGGUGACUUGUAACCCAUUCUGGCUUGUUUAUUUGUUCUUAUUUACUCCCUGGCUAGGUUUGGUUCUGUGUGAAAGUUCUUACAUCUUGUUCCUCAACUGUUCGUUAAGAACAAAAAAAAAAAAAAAAAAAAAAGGCUGAUCGGAAUGCGAGAGCCGCGUGACGUCAGAGACUUUGUGACGUCAGAGACUCGCCCAGUCGGCGAGCGGCAGUCAGGCAGGCGCCAGGCAGCGAUUGGCGAAGAUGAUGGCAUCGGCGGCUCGCUUUUGGCGACUGUGUGCAGUUAAAAACACAGGGCUUCUAACUCAUAACACCAGAAUCGGAGGCUCGGCUACAGCGGGUCUCACUCAGAGUCGAACCGCCGUGUCCACGUCGACGGGUGCUGUUCUGCCAAAGCCGGUGAAAGUGUCCUUUGGCCUGACACGCAUCAUGAUUGUGGUCGUCCCUUUCCUGUACGUGGGAACUCUGUUCAGCAAGAAAUUUGCUGCCAUGCUUGAAGAACAUGACAUCUUUGUUCCCGACAAUGAUGACGAUGAUUGAUGCCAGGACCCCGUGAGUGCAGACAAUGAGAGUCGGGAAGAGAAUGAGAACAGAGGUGUGAAUGACACUCCACCUUUAUUCAAAGGUGCUGAAGAUGACUCCUGUUGCCUUCGCCAUAAUUUUUCUUACAAAGUCAUUUUGAUAGCGUUGUUUCUCAAAUAUACCAACCUGGGGCUACCUCUUCUUCGAUUUCCUUUUAUACACAGGGUGGGUUUUUUUUAAAAAAAAAAAAAUAAAGUCUGCUGUCAAAGUAAUUUCA
rnacentral:lncRNA from 1 species